CCUACGGGAGGCUGCAGUGGGGAAUAUUGCACAAUGGGGGAAACCCUGAUGCAGCGACGCCGCGUGAGUGAAGAAGUAAUUCGUUAUGUAAAGCUCUAUCAGCAGGGAAGAAAAUGACGGUACCUGAGUAAGAAGCCCCGGCUAACUACGUGCCAGCAGCCGCGGUAAUACGUAGGGGGCAAGCGUUAUCCGGAUUUACUGGGUGUAAAGUGAGCGUAGACGGCAGUGCAAGUCUGGAGUGAAAGGCGGGGGCUCAACCCCCGGACUGCUCUGGAAACUGUACGGCUGGAGUGCAGGAGAGGUAAGUGGAAUUCCUAGUGUAGCGGUGAAAUGCGUAGAUAUUAGAAGGAACACCAGUGGCGAAGGCGGCUUACUGGACUGUAACUGACGUUGAGGCUCGAAAGCGUGGGGAGCAAACAGGAUUAGAUACCCUUGUAGUC
rnacentral:rRNA from 1 species